rnacentral:lncRNA from 1 species
AUUUUAUGUUUUGGCAUAAAAUUGGCUGAAAUGUUGGUGCAUAUAUGCUUGAUUCUUUUCUUGUAGGUUGACCCAAAUUUGGGGUGGCAAUUUGGUUAUUUAAAUGGCCUAUUUUUAUCUACACGGGCAGAGACACGGACGUGUGUCUCAGCCGUGUGUGACACACGACUGUGUUGUACGAUCGUGUGUCCCUUGGGGUACCCUACAAUUGUAAGUCAGGCUCGAACAAGGCCAAAGCACAUGGGCGUGUGGCUAGCCGUGUGGCCCAAGUCAGGCUCAACCACGGCCAAAGCACACGGGCGUGUCUUGUAGCCGUGUGAGCAAGUUAGUAGCUAUGCCCU